ACCUCCGUCUGCUGCCAUCUAUCUGUCAUUGAAGAUCUCUAUUGGCAACCUCCUCCGUCUGCUGCUAUCACCCAGCCCUCUCCCUGGCCCUAAUCGGCGCACGUCUCCUCUCCACUUCUCCUUCAGAGUAUGCGCACAUGUGGAGGCCAUCGAUUUAUCCGUCAUGGACGAUCUCAAUGGCCACUUCGUCUGCCUGCUCCCGUCACCCUGCCCUAAUCCGUCCUCUUACCUCCGUCGAUGGUGCCGCAGGUUAGCACGGCCUCCUCUGCCUUCUUUCUCCAUCAUCUCCCUCGCCAAUCCUGUUCUAAGCAGUCUCCUGCUUCUGUGAUUGAUGUCGUCCUUCUCCAGUCACGAGUCUCCGCAGGUUAUAUGUCUCCUCCUCAGAUUUCCCUUCCAUUGCAAAAGAUAGGAACGCCUUUCCCAUACCUUCAGUAGUGGCUUCAAUUCAAGUCGCAAAAGUUUCUAUAGAACAGUUCAGUUGUCAAAGUUCCAUUAGCCCGCAAAACAUUCUCUCAGAUCUGGAGCCUACUCAAGAAUGACGACUCCACCGUUAUGUGCUCACCUUCUUGGCUGCCACUUCUCAUCAGCUUAAUCUUCUGUCACAGACUCAUUUCGUCAGGGAGUUCCACACGCCAUAGUUCCUCCCUCUCUCCUAUCUGAUUUGGACUCCCUCACAGAUACCACAAUCGCUCUCCGAUGUGCACAUAUUAGCCAUGGUUUACCCAUCGUUUAUACCACUCAAUACUUGCAUACGAAGUUAGCACACCUGCAUUGCCAUGGGUAGCCAGCCAAUGCUUACAACAGUCCAUCCUAUAAGUGCCUCGCUGUCUUGGGUUGAUUUGCCAAUCAAGUGCUAUUUUUUAUUUUAGUUGUGGAAUAUCACCAUGAUGGUGCAAUGAGAGUUUGUUCCCUAUUCACUGCAAUAUCGGAGGAAUGGCAAGACUGCUAGAGAACUAUAACGUGUGUUGAGUUGACAUAGAUAAUACAUAACUUGGUGUGUCAUGUGCACAUCCAUCGUCGGGUAUGUAUAAUAGUAAUCCAUCUCAUCAUGAGAUGUUAGUGUUGACAAAAUCAAGGCGAAAGAUACAAAAGGAAGAUUUAUGGGUGCAUCAUUACUACAUAAUCUUGCUGCAUGCUCUUCGUCUCGAUAUUAAGUAUUUCUGUUUUGGCAUUACAAUCUACUUUACCUUUGAGUUUCUCAUUUACUUUUUUUUAUCAUAAGUUCAU